AUUGAACGCUGGCGGCGUGCCUAACACAUGCAAGUCGAGCGGUAACAGGUGUAGCAAUACAUGCUGACGAGCGGCGGACGGGUGAGUAACGCUUGGGAAUCUGCCUAUUAGUGGGGGACAACCCGGGGAAACUCGGGCUAAUACCGCAUACGCUCUACGGAGGAAAGCCGGGGACCGCAAGGCCUGGCGCUAAUAGAUGAGCCCAAGUCGGAUUAGCUAGUUGGUAGGGUAAUGGCCUACCAAGGCGACGAUCCGUAACUGGUCUGAGAGGACGACCAGUCACACCGGAACUGAGACACGGUCCGGACUCCUACGGGAGGCAGCAGUGGGGAAUAUUGGACAAUGGGCGAAAGCCUGAUCCAGCGACGCCGCGUGGGUGAAGAAGGCCUGCGGGUUGUAAAGCCCUUUCAGUGGGGAAGAAAAGCCUCGACCUAACACGUCGGGGUCUUGACGUAACCCAUAGAAGAAGCACCGGCUAACUCUGUGCCAGCAG
rnacentral:rRNA from 1 species